AAUAAUUUAUUUGAUGGUUCCUUACUACUCGGAUAACUGUAGUAAUUCUAGAGCUAAUACGUGCGUAAAAUCCCGACUCUUGCGGGGAGGGAUGUAUUUAUUAGAUAAAAAGCCAGCGCGGGUUCUGCCCGGUUUUGUGGUGAAUCAUAGUAACUUUUCGAAUCGCAUGGCUUCACGCCGGCGAUAGUUCAUUCAAAUUUCUGCCCUAUCAGCUUUCGACGGUAGUGUAGUGGACUACCGUGGCAUUAACGGGUAACGGAGAAUUAGGGUUCGAUUCCGGAGAGGGAGCCUGAGAAACGGCUACCACA
rnacentral:rRNA from 1 species